rnacentral:lncRNA from 7 species
AGGAGCCGGCCCCGCCCCGGCAGGGAGCUGCAGAGAGCUGCGGGAGAGCCGCAGCAAACACCACACGGCAGCUCGGGCCAGCCCCAAGAUGUCUCUUCCUUAAGGGCCUGGAAAUCAGCAUCUGAAGUAGAUUCAUUAGAUUCAGCAACGUGGUGUGCCUGGAGCUUCUAUUUUUUCAGCUUGAAUUAAAGAAGAGAGAAUUUUUCCACUGCAAAGACUCAAUUUUUAUUAACUUGAUUAGUGCGCUAAUAACUUCUACUUGGCCUGAACAAUUUUUCACAUUUUCACAGGUGUUCUCACAUUUUGACAGAAUCUAACAGAGAUUUCCAUUCAGCUUAAGCUGCAAGUGCUAAGCCUCUUGGAGAAUUAUGGUUGACUCAUGUUUGGUAGCAGAUUUAUUUGGAAUAGUUACAGAAGUUACUGCUCCCAGCUGUCAUUUGGCUAUUCUGUUGAAUGUGGGAAUCUGCCAAUGUCAGUUUGCAUCAGCAUAGCUCAGGAGAUGGUGGUCUUUGGAAGAAGGGUGGGCAGCUAAUGCUAACUGCUUCACUCAACCAAACUAAAUCUUCCAGAGCACUCUGCCACCCCUGGGCUUCAGCUUGGCACAUAUUGAGACAUUUUGAGUAUUUUGGAAAGCCAGGUUUUGCUAUGUAUUUUUCAAGAGUGUAAAUAUGCCACCUGUUAAUAUAUUCUUAAUCUAUACAGCUUUAAUUAUGUAGUGACCAUGUGGACAUCAUGUUAGGUUGCUUUAGAAAAUGCUCUGAAUGUUACUGUUUGCUUAGUUGCUCGUAGAUUGCAGUGGAUUGUAAAGUACGUAAUGAUAUAUUUAUGUUCCAGAAGGCUGCAGCCUCUGUUCUCCAGGCAUGUAGAUGUUUACCAUUAGGCAUUUGAUAUCAAGAAUGUUAUUCACGUAUUUAGAGUUGAAUACUAAUGUUAUGCUUGAGGCUCUGGACCAGCAUUAAGGUAACAAUGUGCAUAAAUGACAGCAUUGCAUGAGGAAUAUAUGUGGACCUAAGGCUGGACUUCAGGUCAUUCCCUCAGAAAGUAAUAAAAAACACCAAAGGGCAUACCAUUGUAUUUCUCAGCACAAUACGUUUCUAAAAUACAUAGCAGCUUUUCAGAUUUUUUGGCAUUAUUUAUGGUUCUCCUUGCUCACUAACAAAUAUGACUUGAAUACUGAUGAAAACACGCCCCUUAAAUUUGCAGCUUAGCAGCAUAGCCUCAGGCACAUGCUAACAGCUCCUUAGAAAGUAUUUCACAGUCUUCUGGUAUUUCCACACCACUUAGCAUAGCAUUGCAUUUAUGCACAAGUUCUGUCUGGUGCUGAGUAGCCAUCAGCUUUUCUAAAAGAAAGUUUAAAUAAAACACUUCUUUCUGU